rnacentral:rRNA from 1 species
AGUCGUGGGGCAGCAGGGGCGUAGCAAUACGUUCGCUGGCGACCGGCAAACGGGUGCGGAACACGUACACAACCUUCCUUUAAGUGGGGGAUAGCCCGGGGAAACCCGGAUUAAUACCCCGUAAUAUAAUGAAGUGGCAUUGCUUUAUUAUUAUAGCAGCAAUGCGCUUGAAGAUGGGUGUGCGACUGAUUAGGCAGUUGGCGGGGUAACGGCCCACCAAACCUACGAUCAGUAACUGGUGUGAGAGCACGACCAGUCACACGGGCACUGAGACACGGGCCCGACUCCUACGGGAGGCAGCAGUAAGGAAUAUUGGUCAAUGGACGCAAGUCUGAACCAGCCAUGCCGCGUGGAGGAUGAAGGUCCUCUGGAUUGUAAACUUCUUUUAUCUGGGAAGAAACCCAUGAAUUCUUUCGUGGUUGACGGUACCAGAUGAAUAAGCACCGGCUAACUCCGUGCCAGCAGCCGCGGUAAUACGGAGGGUGCAAGCGUUAUCCGGAUUCACUGGGUUUAAAGGGUGCGUAGGUGGGUUGGUAAGUCAGUGGUGAAAUCUCCAGGCUUAACUUGGAAACUGCCAUUGAUACUAUCAACCUUGAAUACCGUGGAGGUCAGCGGAAUAUGUCAUGUAGCGGUGAAAUGCUUAGAUAUGACAUAGAACACCAAUUGCGAAGGCAGCUGGCUACGCGGAUAUUGACACUGAUGCACGAAAGCGUGGGGAUCAAACAGGAUUAGAUACCCUGGUAGUCCACGCCCUAAACGAUGGAUACUCGACAUACGCGAUAUACUGUGUGUGUCUGAGCGAAAG